UACGUAGGGAGCAAGCGUUGUCCGGAAUCAUUGGGCGUAAAGAGCGCGUAGGUGGCUGCAUAAGUCCGUUGUGAAAGUCAAAGGCUCAACCUUUGAAAGCCGAUGGAUACUGUGGAGCUAGAGUACGGAAGAGGCGAGUGGAAUUCCUGGUGUAGCGGUGGAAUGCGCAGAUAUCAGGAGGAACACCAAUAGCGAAGGCAGCUCGCUGGGACGUUACUGACACUGAGAAGCGAAAGCAUGGGGAGCGAACAGG
rnacentral:rRNA from 1 species